rnacentral:tRNA from 1 species
GUUCAACCCCUUCCCCUGCUAAUCCA